rnacentral:misc_RNA from 1 species
GAUUUUUAUUUUUUGUUUUUAGUUUCUAAAGUUAAAAAUGUUUUUGUUUGUUGACCGUUAGUUGCGUUUAGUUAUUAAUUAUGUAUUAUACAAAUUAUUUGCACAGGCGUCCAAGUAAAAUGAAUGAAUAUGGCUUGAAGAGGAUACCGGAUUACACGGAGUUGGCCUACAAAGAGGCGGUAUCGAAGUUGCGAUACUUCUUGUCGGGGAAUUAUGCGCCAAGCGUCCGCAGCUACGGCGGCUCAGCCUCGGUCAAGAACUUGGACGAGUCUGACGGCGAUGUGGACAAGAAGUACCCCAGCUCGUACACGCUGGCCGAGUACAAGCCGCGGCCGAGAUUGACAGCUAAAUACGCCACGUUGUACGCCGACAGUCUCAAUAAUUAUACACCGCCACAUACUGCUACUGCACCAGCUCCAACUACCGCGGCUGCCAGUGGUGGCGACCUGACCGGGGGCACCAACCCUGAUGUCAUCAACUUCAUACAGAAGCAGGAGGAGUAUAUAGAACAGCUGGAACGAGAGAGCCAGUAUUGCAGGGAUGAACUAAACAACCUGCUGGGCAAAGUAAAGGAGGUGAUCUCCGAGAAUGAGCACUUACACGAAGCUCAGAAGAACAAGCUCAUCUCUAGAAUGUUCCACUCGUACAACGGCUCCGAGAGUGACGAGCUGGACGAGCUGGGGGACAGCACUGGACUUGACAGUGAUAAUAAGACGACUCCGCUAAAGGCCCGCAAAUCUGCCAAGUCCCGCUCCACCAGACUGGAAGGUCCUAACAUCGUGUUUGAGUCCCGUAUUGCUGAGUUGGAGGCCCAACUGACGCAGGCCAAGAUCGACCUUAAGAAAGUGCAGGAGGAAAACAAUGAAAACAAGCGCAAGUUGGCCUCCGGGCUGGUUGACUCAACCUGCCUCGACGGCUUUAAGCGCCAAAUUGACAAUUUGCAAAGAGAUAAGUCGUCGUUGGAAGCUCAGAUAUCCAAACUGAAGUUGAGCCUGGAACAGCGUGAUGAUGACGGGAGGUACAAGCGAGGGUCUGAUGCGUUGGAACAUCAGCUCAGGGAGGAACGGAAUAAUCUGGAUGCUGAAGUGCGCAGGCUUAAGGACGAUUUAUCAAAAGAGCGCAACAAAGUCCGCGAGCUAGCGGGCGAGGGCGCUCGACGCGCCAUACAGGAGCGCAGUGCGGCCGAGCAGCGCUACAACGCGCACUUCGACGAGCUGCAGCACGACCUCGCCGCGCAGUACGACAAUGUUGCCAAGCUGCAGUUUGAUUUGGAGCGCCAACGUCGUGAAGAACAUGAGCUGAAGCGAGAACUCUCCAUGAAAAACGCCACCAUCGACGAGCUGAAGAAUGAAUUGAAGACCAAGAUAUCGUCUCUGCAAGCGGAUUUGGCUCAAGCUCACGCUGAGAAGGCGUCUCUGGAGGAAGAACUGGCGAGCGCUCGUCUAGCUAUCGAGAGACAUCAGCGUCAGGCCAAACAUGAAACCAAUCGUCUCAAUUCAGAGAUCCAGUCUCUCCGUCAACGCUUAGACCGCGCUGAUGCAGACCUGGUGCACUCACGUCGAGAGAAUCUGCGUCUCUCCGAACAGAUCUCCAAUCUGGAGAAAGAGCAAACAAUGAAAAACUUAACACCGAUAUCGCCGGAGAAGCACAAGAAAGAGAAAGAGUUAUCCUCGAUGCUGGAGACGAUGGAGAAUAAGCACGGCAAGAACUGGCCACUCUGCAGCGUCAAGUAAACGGACUGUCGCGAUCCAUCCAGACUCCUCACGCACCUAGCCAUUUUCAAGCACAUCCCUCGCACCCGACCUCAGCCGACAGACAUGUACCACAUCCCCCAUCCGACAGCGGACGAGACUAUCCCGGAGCUGAGUCCCCCGGACACACCGCACACGCCCGGGACACAACAGUCCGACGAGACGACCGUCAUCAAACAGGAAUAGUCGAAGACAACAACACAUUUGAACCACAAGAAGAAAUAAACCACAACCAAGUUGUAGCACAACAAAAUAUUUCUCAAAAUGCUCAUCCUACAGACAGAGGCUACGAAGAAACAACAGAAUAUUUCGAACAACAGGAAGAGUCUAGAGCUACUACAGAAAGUGAAACUGUGAGGGAAAACCCUAUGGACGUUGAACAACCGCAAGAAUUUCCAGCUACGGAUCUCCGUUACGAACAACAUUACCAGGAACCAAAAGAGAAGAUAGAUUAUGAGGGUUUCUUCAAUGAGUACCCGCAACCGGAGAAUGUGGAUCAAAUAUACGCGCAGGAAUAUGAUGACUCAACACCUGAUCCGAAGAUGCACUAUGAACCGAGUCAUAAAAAAUAUAAUGCUGGUGAAACAAUUGAUCAUUUUCCUGUUGAAGAGAACUAUGCCACAAAUGAGUAUGCUAAAGAAUAUCUUACUGAAAAUCCGCAAAAUGAUGUCAACGUUCAGCAAGAAGGAAAUUAUAAUGCUUCAGAUUAUACACAAGAAUAUCAAGCAUACGAUAACUCGGAACAUGAAAUUUCAAGGAAUGAGAGCAAUAAUUUACAACAAGAUAACAUACCUAGUCAAAGUUAGCAAUUUUAUUAGAAUUACGUUGUCUUCUUUUGUGCAAUAUUUUGUUAUAUAGCUUUUUAGUUUUAUGUAUUUGUGCUAGUUUUUAAAUAUUAAUUGUAGAUACCUAAUGAAGCUUUUGAUGUUAGGCAUGUUAUAGUUACAUAGAAAACAAAACAAAAACUAGAUUUAACUGAUUCAUUAGUAAUUGAAGAACUAAAAUAAAGUUAUUUACGAUUGAAAAGGUUUUACUCUAGUUUAUCAUAAAAGGGAUAGUUUUGAAGCAACUAAUAGAAUAAAAAAUAAAUAAACUCAAAAUGAAAAUAGUACUUUAUAAACGCAACGCUUUCAUUAAUGCAAUAAACGGUAAUGAAUAUUUCUUAUCUUAGAAAUGAAAACGAAUACGUAGAAAAUUUUAAAUAUUUGUCUAAUGAUUAAUCAAUUUCUCUUAGUUGCUAGAAAAUUUUCCAUUAAAAUUUCUCUACCAAAUGUAACACCUUUAAAAUAAUAAUUAAAAUUAUUUUUGCUCAAUAUAAUGUUUAUAGAUCA